CGGCCAGUGGUGUAGCGGUCUAACGCAUCUUCCUAUCAAGGACGGCCGCGGGUUCGAAUCCCGCCUUGCUGG
rnacentral:tRNA from 1 species